AGAGUUUGAUCCUGGCUCAGGAUGAACGCUGGCGGCGUGCCUAACACAUGCAAGUCGAACGGUUAAGGCGCCUUCGGGCGCGCAUAGAGUGGCGAACGGGUGAGUAACACGUGACCAACCUGCCCCCUCCUCCGGGACAACCUCGGGAAACCGAGGCUAAUACCGGAUGGUCCCGCCGGGCCGCAUGGCCGGGCGGGGAAAGCCCAGGCGGGAGGGGAUGGGGUCGCGGCCCAUCAGGUAGUAGGCGGGGUGACGGCCCACCUAGCUGACGACGGGUAGCCGCGCUGAGAGGCGGACCGGCCACAUUGGGACUGAGACACGGCCCAGACUCCUACGGGAGGCAGCAGUGGGGAAUUUUGCGCAAUGGGGGAAACCCUGACGCAGCAACGCCGCGUGCGGGACGAAGGCCUUCGGGUCGUAAACCGCUUUCAGCAGGGAAGAAGUUGACGGUACCUGCAGAAGAAGCCCCGGCUAACUACGUGCCAGCAGCCGCGGUAAUACGUAGGGGGCGAGCGUUAUCCGGAUUCAUUGGGCGUAAAGCGCGCGUAGGCGUCCCUUCAAGCGGCACCGUCGAAGCCGGGGGCUCAACCCCCGGAAGCGGGCCGAACUGGGGGGAUCGAGUGCGGUAGGGGAAGGCGGAAUUCCCGGUGUAGCGGUGAAAUGCGCAGAUAUCGGGAAGAACACCGACGGCGAAGGCAGCCUUCUGGGCCGCCACUGACGCUGAGGCGCGAAAGCUGGGGGAGCGAACAGGAUUAGAUACCCUGGUAGUCCCAGCCGUAAACGAUGGGCGCUAGGUGUGGGGGGAGAUGUCCCUCCGUGCCGCAGCCAACGCAUUAAGCGCCCCGCCUGGGGAGUACGGCCGCAAGGCUAAAACUCAAAGGAAUUGACGGGGGC
rnacentral:rRNA from 1 species